rnacentral:rRNA from 1 species
ACGCCGGCGGUGUGCCUAAUACAUGCAAGUCGAACGCGUUGGCCCAAUUGAUUGAUGGUGCUUGCACCUGAUUGAUUUUGGUCGCCAACGAGUGGCGGACGGGUGAGUAACACGUAGGUAACCUGCCCAGAAGCGGGGGACAACAUUUGGAAACAGAUGCUAAUACCGCAUAACAACGUUGUUCGCAUGAACAACGCUUAAAAGAUGGCUUCUCGCUAUCACUUCUGGAUGGACCUGCGGUGCAUUAGCUUGUUGGUGGGGUAACGGCCUACCAAGGCGAUGAUGCAUAGCCGAGUUGAGAGACUGAUCGGCCACAAUGGGACUGAGACACGGCCCAUACUCCUACGGGAGGCAGCAGUAGGGAAUCUUCCACAAUGGGCGCAAGCCUGAUGGAGCAACACCGCGUGAGUGAAGAAGGGUUUCGGCUCGUAAAGCUCUGUUGUUAAAGAAGAACACGUAUGAGAGUAACUGUUCAUACGUUGACGGUAUUUAACCAGAAAGUCACGGCUAACUACGUGCCAGCAGCCGCGGUAAUACGUAGGUGGCAAGCGUUAUCCGGAUUUAUUGGGCGUAAAGAGAGUGCAGGCGGUUUUCUAAGUCUGAUGUGAAAGCCUUCGGCUUAACCGGAGAAGUGCAUCGGAAACUGGAUAACUUGAGUGCAGAAGAGGGUAGUGGAACUCCAUGUGUAGCGGUGGAAUGCGUAGAUAUAUGGAAGAACACCAGUGGCGAAGGCGGCUACCUGGUCUGCAACUGACGCUGAGACUCGAAAGCAUGGGUAGCGAACAGGAUUAGAUACCCUGGUAGUCCAUGCCGUAAACGAUGAGUGCUAGGUGUUGGAGGGUUUCCGCCCUUCAG